UGAUAAUUUGACAAAAAUGAACUGGGUAUAAGGAUUAUGAGUAAGAGGGAAGAUCUGCUUAAAUAUCGUGUCAAAAGACUGCCAAGGAGAUGAAAUUUAAGUUGAAUCUGGUCCCUGUGAACCCAUUUACUUAAAUGUUAACAAAAAAUUGUUAAGUACACACACAACACAACAAUUUUAUUAACCAUCAUAUAUCUCCAAUUCAAUUUUUCUUAAGUGAAUAAGCCCUUUCUUCUUUCUGAACACAUAUUUAAACAUAGCAUUAAUUAAACAAAAUUAAACAUUCUGAAAACAUAAUUAAACAAAACAUAAACACAUUGUUUUAAAUAGAAGAUACGCAGAAGUUUCUUGGUCAUCCUGAACUCAGUUUGCAAAUGAGAUAGUUUUAUGCCUUAAUCAUUAUCAAUGUCCCUCUCUCACUCACACCAGGAGAAGCCGGCAUCGGGUCGUGCUCCGUGUACAGACUUCUCCAUGUCUGUGUCUCAUAGGGUGACCCCUUCUCACAUUCCUCCUCUUGGCUUGUCAUGUGUCAAGGGCAAAUCUACUCAAUCCCCAAAGCUCCCAGGAUCAAAAAGAGAAGAAAUUCUUUCCUCAGGGAGCAGGAUAGGAAGAAGGCUGAAUGACCACAGGUUAGGAAUUGGGGUAAAAGGAAGAGAAGAGAAGAAACGGCAAGACAGGAUAACAGGGGAAAGGGUUUUCAAGGAAGAAAAGUCAGCAGUGUGGUUGGGCUGGAGGCCCCUUGGGAAGCAGAAGCUGGGGAUGGAGAUGAAAUGUGCUCCAGGUCACACAGAGAGGGAAGGGGAAGGUCAAUGUUUCCUUGUGUCCCAUUACACCCAGCUCAGGAUGCUCCUUAAAUACUUGUCAAGUCUACUUUUUUUUUUUUUUUAAAGAUUUUAUUUUUUCCUUUUUCUCCCCAAAGCCCCCCGGUACAUAGUUGUGUAUUCUUCGUUGUGGGUUCCUCUAGUUGUGGCAUGUGGGACGCUGCCUCAGCAUGGUCUGACGAGCAGUGCCAUGUCCGUGCCCAGGAUUCGAACCAACGAAACACUGGGCGGCCUGCAGUGGAGCGCGCGAACGUAACCACUCGGCCACGGGGCCAGCCCUCAAGUCUACAUUUUUAAACACCUGUUACAUGCUGUGUAUUGGAGAUGCAGACAAAGUUGAGAACGGGCUCUGCUCAUGUUCAAUAGAAAAAGACAGACACAGAAACAAAAGCCGCAAUACAACAUGCUCAGCACUCUCCUAAAGUCAUUCACUUUGGUUAACUGGAAGACAAAACGGUGGAAAAGCCGGUGAGGUGCAGAUUGUGACAACUGUAACUGUGAGUUCCCUGGACGGUGGGGAUUUAUCCAGACCUCUUCUUCACUGUAUCUUCAAUGACUGGAACACAGGGAGAAUGGCUCUGCUAUGGCACCCUGGUGACCUUGCCCGUGUCCCUCAGGCAAAGGCUGGAACCAUGGCUAACCUGAGCCUCGGCAAAAUGCCCUGUGAUCCUCCCAGAACACAAGAGGAUGGCCUGUGAGGCACUACCUCG
rnacentral:lncRNA from 1 species